GGGUCCGGACACACUGAGGAUUGACAGAUAUACGCUCAUGCGUGCUUCGGCGCCGCUGGGCUGAAAGAUGCUAGUUCUUUCAUGAUUAUGUGAUAGGUGGUGCAUGGCCGUUCUUAGUUCGUGGAGUGAUCUGUCUGCUUAAUUGCGUAUCAAUAAUAGAGACCUAGUAUACGCGUGGAUUUCGUGUGGUAGUGACCCCCUGUUUAACGACAGGCGUGUGUCGCACACGCGUACCUACGCACUGGUCUCAGAUAGCAACGAACGUGACCGUAUUCUAUUGUUGCAGUGAAAUGUGCCUUCUGAGUACGACCCACUGCUUAGUAUAUGUACGUGCUUCGGCGCGAACAAUAUACAUUAAACUAUAGAGACCGCUGUUUCUUCUUUAAACCAGAGGAAGGAUACGGCAAUAACAGGUCUGUGAUGCCCUCAGAUGUUCCGGGCCGCACACGUGCUACAAUGAUCAUUGCACUGUGCAUCUAACCCAAUGUGCGUGGACGCCGCAUGCAUGUGCCUUCGGGUACACGCAUUGCUGUUGCGACCACGCCGAACCUACUUCGAAAGUAAAAUUUCUCAGUGGGU
rnacentral:rRNA from 1 species